GACGAACGCUGGCGGCGUGCUUAACACAUGCAAGUCGAACGAGUGGCGAACGGGUGAGUAAUACGUGAGUAACCUGCCCUCUCUGUGGGAUACGCCUUGGAAAAGGGGUUUAAUACAGAAUAAAGGGGGCUGGGCUCGCGGCGUGUCAGCUUGUUGGUGGGGUGUUGGCGUACCAAGGCGGUGACGGUGUGCCGGCCUGAGGGGGUGACCUGCCACAUGGGGACUGCGAAACGGCCCACGCUCCUCAGGUGUGCAGCAUUGGGCGAUAUUGCACAAUGGGUGAAAGCCUGAUGCAGCGAGGCCGCGUAGGGCAUUAUGGCGUUCGGGUUGUAAACCUCUUUCGCUAUCGAACGGGUAGGUGGAUAUGAAGCGCCGGCUAACUACGUGCCAGCAGCCGCGGUAAUAC
rnacentral:rRNA from 1 species